UCAGACGAUGCGUCAUGCAUAUCAAUAAGCGGAGGAAAAGAAACUAACAAGGAUUCCCUUAGUAACGGCGAGUGAAGCGGGAAGAGCUCAAAUUUGAAAUCUUCAAGGUUUUACCUUGACGAAUUGUAGUUUAAAGAAGUGUUUUCUGCUGAAGUUUUGGUAAAAGUUCUUUGGAAUAGGACAUCAUAGAGGGUGAGAAUCCCGUAUUUGACCAUUAUUUUCAGCUUUGUGAUACACUUUCAAAGAGUCGGAUUGUUUGGGAAUGCGGUCCAAAAUGGGUGGUAAAUUUCAUCUAAAGCUAAAUAUUGGCGAGAGACCGAUAGCGAACAAGUACCGUGAGGGAAAGAUGAAAAGAGUUUUGAAAAGAGAGUUAAACAGUACGUGAAAUUGUCAAAAGGGAAGCGUUUGACACCAGUGUUGUUUUCUCGAAAAUCAAUUAAAAAUGGCUCGAUUUUGUAUUGCUUGAGACCUUAAAAGCUCACUGUACAUUUUUCGUGUCUUUUUUAAUGCACUUUUCGUUUAACAAGUCAACAUCAGUUUCUUUUGUUGUAAAAGGGUCAUUGGAAGGUGGCUUUCUUUUCGGAGAAAGUGUUUAUAGCCUUUGGCCUCUGCAAUCGGAGAGACUGAGGUCUGCAGCGUAGACUCUUCGGGGUUAGAUACAUUUGUGCUAAGUUAUAGCUUUUUAUAGACAACUUGUUGACUAUAAUUAGUCUUGUAGCUUACUCGCUUAUGCUAUUUUACCUACGCUUAGGAUGUUGAACUACUGAGACAUAGA
rnacentral:rRNA from 1 species